CUUAAACAUGCAAGUCGAGCGGAAAGGCCCUUUCGGGGGUACUCGAGCGGCGAACGCCCUGAGUAACACGUGAGUAAUCUGCCCCUGGCUUUGGGAUAGCCACCGGAAACGGUGAUUAAUACCGGAUAUGACCACUUUCCGCAUGGAUUGUGGUGGAAAGUUUUUCGGCCAGGGAUGUGCUCGCGGCCUAUCAGCUUGAUGGUGAGGUAAUGGCUCACCAUGGCUUCGACGGGUAGCCGGCCUGAGAGGGUGACCGGCCACACUGGGACUGAGACACGGCCCAGACUCCUACGGGAGGCAGCAGUGGGGAAUAUUGGACAAUGGGCGGAAGCCUGAUCCAGCAACGCCGCGUGAGGGAUGACGGCCUUCGGGUUGUAAACCUCUUUCAGCAGGGACGAAGCGCAAGUGACGGUACCUGCAGAAGAAGCACCGGCCAACUACGUGCCAGCAGCCGCGGUAAUACGUAGGGUGCGAGCGUUGUCCGGAAUUAUUGGGCGUAAAGGGCUCGUAGGCGGUUUGUCGCGUCGGGAGUGAAAACGCCGUGCUUAACACGGCGCUUGCUUUCGAUACGGGCAGACUAGAGGUAUUCAGGGGAGAACGGAAUUCCUGGUGUAGCGGUGAAAUGCGCAGAUAUCAGGAGGAACACCGGUGGCGAAGGCGGUUCUCUGGGAAUGACCUGACGCUGAGGAGCGAAAGUGUGGGGAGCGAACAGGAUUAGAUACCCUGGUAGUCCACACCGUAAACGUUGGGCGCUAGGUGUGGGGUCCAUUCCACGGAUUCCGUGCCGCAGCUAACGCAUUUAAGCGCCCCGCCUGGGGAGUACGGCCGCAAGGCUAAAACUCAAAUGAAUUGACGGGGGCCCGCACAAGCGGCGGAGCAUGCGGAUUAAUUCGAUGCAACGCGAAGAACCUUACCUGGGUUUGACAUACACUCCUAGCCUCCACAGAUGGGGCUUCUUUUGGGGGUGUACAGGUGGUGUAUGGCUGGCGUCAGCUCGUGUCGUGAGAUGUUGGGUUAAGUCCCGCAACGAGCGCAACCCUCGUUCUAUGUUGCCAGCACGUAAUGGUGGGGACUCAUAGGAGACUGCCGGGGUCAACUCGGAGGAAGGUGGGGAUGACGUCAAGUCAUCAUGCCCCUUAUGUCCAGGGCUUCACGCAUGCUACAAUGGCCGGUACAAAGGGCUGCGAUCCCGUAAGGGGGAGCGAAUCCCAAAAAAGCCGGUCUCAGUUCGGAUUGGGGUCUGCAACUCGACCCCAUGAAGUCGGAGUCGCUAGUAAUCGCAGAUCAGCAACGCUGCGGUGAAUACGUUUCCCGGGCCCUUGUACACACCGCCCGUCACGUCACGAAAGUCGGCAACACCCGAAGCCGGUGGCCCAACCCUUGUGGAGGGAGCCGUCGAAGGUGGGGCUGGCGAUUGGGACGAAGUCGUAACAAGGUAACUG
rnacentral:rRNA from 1 species